CCAGCUCACCAGAGCACAGACUGUGCUUCCCAAAGGUGGUGUCCUGAAGACAGCUCUUGCACACUUCCUUCUGUUUAGGGGGCUGGUGAACCCAUAGCUGGGAAAGUGCUUCUCCCCUUCAGUGGAGGGAAGAUGGGCUGAGCAGUGGGAAGCCAGCUUACAGGGAGAUGAGCCCCUGUCCCUGACCGCUGUGACCAGGUACCCCUACUCUGCAGCCACUGCCCACUUCAACUUCUGCCGGAGCCUCCUGGAUCACACGGUGUCGGCCGAGAACAUCCCCUGCCCCCUGCCUCGGACACCAGGUACCAGCCUCACGUGGCAUGACUCCCGAAGCCAGAGGGCAGCUGGCGGCCGGCCAGUCAAGCUCCUGCAGCAGCCUGGCACCGAGGCCCCCCAGGGCCGGCUGUACUCUGACCACUAUGGCCUAUACCACACGAGUCCGUCCCUGGGUGGCCUGACGAGGCCUGUGGUCCUGUGGAGUCAGCAGGACGUCUGCAAGUGGCUCAAGAAGCACUGUCCCCACAACUACCUCGUCUAUGUGGAGGCCUUCUCUCAGCACGCCAUCACUGGUGCCUGGGGGGUGGGGACUGGGGUGUGGCAGGGGCGUGGGGCUCCUCCCCCAUCCUCUCUUUCUCGGUUUCUUCUGGGUUGUCAUCUCUCCCAGUCUCUCUGUUUCUGCUGUUACCUGGCUUUGCUCUGCUCAGUCUCCAUUCAUCCUUACCCUCCCUUCACCUCUCUCCCUCUCUUGCCUUGUCUCUUUGAGUCUCUCUCUGAGUCUCUGUCUCUGCCCACACCACCUGUUUUCCUUUGUCUCCACCUUUGCUCUUGAAGCCCCGGAUGGUGACCUGGGCUCCACCCCUCUCCUCUCCCCUCCCUCCCAGGCCGGGCGCUGCUGCGGCUGAACGCAGAGAAGCUGCAGCGGAUGGGGCUGGCACAGGAGGCGCAGCGGCAGGAGGUACUGCAGCAGCUGCUGCACCUGCAGGUGCGCGAGGAGGGGCGGAGCCUGCAGCUGCUCAGCCAAGCUGCUGCCUAGGCUUGAAAUCCGGACCCCAGCACUGUGACCAGAGCCCCAGUGAGGAAGAAGCAGAGCUGGCCUUGCAGCCCCUCAAACCCUGCGUGGCCAAACCUAGCCCAGUGGACAGGUGGGACCAGCGUCGCCUCCACCAACCAUCUCUGGUUGUGCACUCCGGGCUUGCCUGGGAGUGGGGUGAGCGGGUAGGCAGGGCCCCCUACCGGGUGGGGUCCUUCCUACCAGGACCUGAGCCCAGGCCCACCCCCUGGUGCUGCUGGCGGCAUGCAGGGCAGCCACCUGGAGCCAGAGCAGAUCUCGACAUCCCCCUAGACUCCCAGGGAGCCUGUUUAUUUAUAUUCCCUUCACCCGCGUUGAUGUCCGCCCUCCACUGCCUGCUGAGUCAUGUGUCUUCUAGGCACCCUGCCCUCUCCCAGGGCCAGAGGUCUGCCCUUUGCCCCAGUCACACCCUUCCCCAGCCCUGAGAGGACUGUCCGCACAGGUGGAAUGAACUGCCAAGGCUCCCUUUGGUGUGUGCCCCUCCCCUGUUCCCACCCAGAGAGUGGUCAUCAGCACAGGUCCAGCCAGGCACCAUGUCAAGUGCUCUCACUCAUUUCUGAAACCCUUAUUCCAUCUACUCAUGGGGACUGGGACUCACACCCAAGACCUGACAGACACAAGGAGAACCACACCCAGCACCAAUACCAGGCUCAGCUAUGUCCUGGCCUUAGGUUGCGGGAUGGCUCUGUCCUCCCAGGGUCAUGGAGACUGCCUUCCAGGCUUAAUCAUGGGUGGGCAUUCCAGGAAACCUGGAUCCACACAAGAGAUCUCUUGACAGUAGCGCCCCUUGCCCACCCAGGGGAGACCCAGCCAGCAUGCAACCAUGAAUGGAGACCCAUGCAACCAUUCAGUGGGUCAGAGGGCCCCAGAUUUGGGACUGGUGCAGCCAAGCAGAGGGAGAGCUAGGGUGGUCGAGACAGCCCCCACCUCUUGUUCCUCUGCCCACUCACUCCCCAAGGGGACUCUGAAAACCUCGGGUCAGUUGGUGCUGAGCCAUGAGCCCCUAAGCUGUGCCCUGAGCCGGCCUCAGGAUGGGAGGUUGGUUGUUGGGGGUCUCACAUGAAGUUUGGACAACUGGCCUGGUGCCUCCCACCCUGUGCACCCACCAUAGGAAGCCCCUCGUCCUUCCAGGCUGCCCUGAAUAUCCCUAGCCACCUCAUGCCAUCAUGACAUGACCCUUUCUAGGGAUCCUUCCUCUCUCCCCUAGUGCCUCCUUGUCUUGCCCCCUCAACCUCACUGUGCUCCUGUCUUGUCUUCCUUGUUUUGCGUUUUUAUAUUCUGACAAAAGAAUCAGAAAUAAACUUGGUUCUCAAGUG
rnacentral:lncRNA from 1 species